rnacentral:lncRNA from 1 species
UGCUUGCACCAAAGCUAUGUAUGUACACAACUUUAUAGUUGGCCAAUUUUUUGGGCACACCAUACUCUUUGUACACCAAAUUUCUUCCAUCUUUAAGUUUGAUUCUUGAAGUGAGGGGUAGACCACUUGAAAAUCUACAAAUUUUGGAUGGAGGGGGAUGGAUAGUUUGGAAAACAAAGGCUAAAAGUACUAGAAAUGUGGACACAACAACUUGCUUGAUCAUUGUUGAAGACAAGAAGAAAAAAACUAAAGUUUUGAAAAUGAUUGUAG